CAGUAGCCGCGGUAAUACGAACCGUGCGAACGUUAUUCGGAAUCAUUGGGCUUAAAGCGCGUGUAGGCGGAUGGGAACGUCGGUCGCUGAAAUACCCCGGCUCAACCGGGGAACUGGCAUCGAAACGACCCGUCUCGAGGGGCAUAGGGGGAGCUGGAACUUCCGGUGGAGCGGUGAAAUGCGUUGAGAUCGGAAGGAACGCCCGUGGCGAAAGCGAGCUCCUGGAUGUCUUCUGACGCUGAGACGCGAAAGCUAGGGUAGCGAACGGGAUUAGAGACCCGUGUAGUCCCUGUCUCUUAUC
rnacentral:rRNA from 1 species